AACGAACGCUGGCGGCAGGCUUAACACAUGCAAGUCGAACGCUCCGCAAGGGGAGUGGCAGACGGGUGAGUAACGCGUGGGAACGUGCCCUAAGGUACGGAAUAACUUCGGGAAACUGAAGCUAACACCAUAUGUGACCGAGAGGUGAAAGUUUAUCGCCUUAGGAUCGGCCCGCGUCAGAUUAGCUAGUUGGUGGGGUAAUGGCCUACCAAGGCGACGAUCUGUAGCUGUUCUGAGAGGAAGAUCAGCCACACUGGGACUGAGACACGGCCCAGACUCCUACGGGAGGCAGCAGUGGGGAAUCUUGGACAAUGGGCGGAAGCCUGAUCCAGCCAUGCCGCGUGGAUGAUGAAGGCCUUAGGGUUGUAAAAUCCUUUCGCCGAGGACGAUAAUGACGGUACUCGGAGAAGAAGCUCCGGCUAACUUCGUGCCAGCAGCCGCCGUAA
rnacentral:rRNA from 1 species